AGAGUUUGAUCCUGGCUCAGGACGAACGCUGGCGGCGUGCUUAACACAUGCAAGUCGAACGAUGAAGCCCUUCGGGGUGGAUUAGUGGCGAACGGGUGAGUAACACGUGGGCAAUCUGCCCUUCACUCUGGGACAAGCCCUGGAAACGGGGUCUAAUACCGGAUAAUACUUUCUUCCUCCUGGGAGAAGGUUGAAAGCUCCGGCGGUGAAGGAUGAGCCCGCGGCCUAUCAGCUAGUUGGUGGGGUAAUGGCCUACCAAGGCGACGACGGGUAGCCGGCCUGAGAGGGCGACCGGCCACACUGGGACUGAGACACGGCCCAGACUCCUACGGGAGGCAGCAGUGGGGAAUAUUGCACAAUGGGCGAAAGCCUGAUGCAGCGACGCCGCGUGAGGGAUGACGGCCUUCGGGUUGUAAACCUCUUUCAGCAGGGAAGAAGCGAAAGU
rnacentral:rRNA from 1 species